rnacentral:lncRNA from 1 species
CAGGAACGUCUGUGCCACAUUCAGCUACUUCAGAAGACGCAGGUAAGAUGUGUCUUUCACCUUCCGCCGUGAUUGUGAGACCUCCCCAAACACGUCGAAUUGACUAUCAACCUGGCCUGAAAUGAAGUGAUGUCCUCAAAACUUUAGAUAUUGUUGCCAAGAGCCUUCUUCUCAAAAAUAAGUCAAUGGAAACUGUGUUUACUAAUCUGUGUUUUCUGAAAUGCUAUUUGGGGAGAUGGGAAAAGGAAAGAGAAUGAGAUUGUGAAAAAAGGAUCUGAAAUUAUAAGAUAGUAUACCAUUCAGGAAUUAUAAAUUAUCUGUAGCUUGAAUUUAAUUAAAAAAUAUCUUAUGAGUCAGAGAGGUUUUUUUUUAAUAUUUUCUUCCACAGUCCAAUCAAUGGUUUUCCAUGAUAUAAACCUUCUAGAUCUUAAAUCCAAGGAUUAUAUCUUAAACAAUUAUACCUUCAUGCUAUGGCUGUGGGCAUGGGGACUUACACAGACAUUCUGGAAAGCCAAAUAUACAAAUGUCCCAGCAACCCAACUCUUGCAGAUGUAUCUGGGUGAAAUUCUGACACAAAUCCACAAGAGGACAUAAGUGAGGACAGUCACUGCAGUAUUAUCUACUGAGGUAGGAAGUUAGAAGUUGGUUAAAUGUCUACUACUAGGAAACAAGGAUGUUAUAGGUGAAAGACCCAUACUAGAUUCUCUUCAGGAGCUGAAACAACAAACUAGCUAUAUGUAGAACUGUGUGGAUAAGCAGUGAAGGCAGACAUACAGUAACAUGUAGCACAAUGCCACUUAGGCAUUUAAAAAAUAUAUGCACAAAGAACUAUACAGAUACACACAAGUGUGUGUAAAACUGGUGAAAUCUGAUUAAGAUCUGUGGAUUGUAUCAACGUCUAUUUCCAGGUUUUGACACUGUUCUGAGGUUAUGCAGGAUGUUACCAUUGGGGGAAACUGGGUGAAGAGACCUCUGGUUUCCUUGCAGUAAAUACUAGGACUUCCUAGUAUGUUUUUGUAACCUCCUUUGAAUCUAUAAUUAAAUUAAAUUAAAAAAAUUUUAAAGGUUAAUGCAAGGCAAGAGAAGUACAUUUAAUAUAAUGUGGAUUGUAUGUGAGAGUAUAUGAAAAUACCUAUGUAUUUCAAGUAUACGUACAUUUGUAUUCAGUACUUGAAAAACUACCUAUAAACACAACAGUGACAUUUGUGCUAGCAGACCUGGGCAUUGUCAGGGUGGGCAACUUUGACUUUCCAAUGUAGAUUCUUCUGUACCAUUUUUAAAACUAUGAAUAUACAUGAUAUGUAUAAUAAUUAAAAACAUAAAAAUACAUAAAACCCUCCAAUAAUGUUUUAUGGGAACAUACACAAAUAAAAC